rnacentral:tRNA from 1 species
GGGGAUUUAACUCAAUGGGUAGAGUACUUGCCUUGCAUGCACAAGGCUGCCCUGGGUUCAAUUCCCAGCACCACCA